ensembl:lncRNA
UUUUCCUGUGGAGUUCUAGCACUCACCUACACCAGUGCUUUGGAAACUUUCAAAGAGCACGUUCUUCAGAGAAGAUUAUGCUUGUACAUGGGUGUAGGCUCUUGCUAUCAUUUAGCUGAUGAAGCCUAAAUACUGUUUCAUAAAGGCAACAGCAAAAGCAAACCUGUCAGCUCUGAGAGUUCUUUGAUUUCCACUGUGGGUUGGCUUUAAACAUGAAGACAGAGAAAAGGUAUUGUCAUGUGGAAAUUUCUGGAGCCAAUAAUGUGGAUCCUGGACUACCAUUCUCGUUAAGCACAUGCAGUGGUUCCUUUUCAGGAUGCAGAAUGCUAUACAAGUGUCUACACAGAUCAGAAAAGUUGAGUCUUACAAGACCAAAGGAACUGCAAUUUGCCACUGGGCGUACAAUGCUUUAGCCACUAAAACCCAUAAAAGUCCAGUUGAAUCGAGGCAUCUACAGCUCAGUAUGUUGUUUCCUAAUGAUAGACUUCAAGUAUCAGUAUUUAGUUGGAUUGGUUAUAUCCUAAGCAGUGAGAAUGGAAGAACGUGUUUAUCAGAAGGACAUCUCCAAAUUAUCAGAAGGACAUCUCCAAACCAUGUGAAAGAAAUAUCAGUCUGAAAAUAUACAUUCACCAACUCUAGCAACUUUUUCCCCUCUGAUUAUCAAUUAAUGCCCUAGUCAGCAAUGAACCUUAUUUUGUAUCAGACAUUGCACAUGGAAGCAAGAAAGCAAGAAAAACUGCAGCACCUUACUCCAGGGUAAGUAUCUAAAGUCACUUCCAGAAGAACUGAAGAGCUGAAAUGAGAAAGACUGAAUGAGCAUUAGACAUCUGCAAUUCAGAUUAGCCUGAAGUUUUAAUUGCUAUGUUAUCAGAAAUAAGUGCAUUUCAUUGAGCAGUAGCUGUUCAGGAAGACUUGGAGUCAUCAAUGGUAUAUCAUAACGAUGAUGACUUCAUCUCUCCAAAGGGUAUUAGCAAGGAUUCAUUUCAACCUGUCAUUCUAAAAAUGGUGAUACAAGAGUCAACAGUACUUUUCCAGUUUUGCUAUUACUUCACAAGCUAGUUGCAAAUCAAAUGAAUCUUUUCAACAUCUUUAGAAAGAACACGUGGCCCUUCAUCCUCUAAUUGUCCUGAAAUGUCUCCCCCUAAUGUGUCCACAUGUGCCUACAUAUGUGUGAGGGAAAGGAGGAGAAUAUCAAAAUGUAGGCUAAUUUUCUUUUAAUUUUCAAAAUCUCCAAAGUUUUGAUGUGUCUGGAUUGCAUUCUUGUUUUGAUUUAUGACUGUGUAGGUGGAAGGGUGCAGCUGCUCUGAAAUUCCAGUCAUGAUUCUUACCCAAAUAUAGACUAUCUGAAGUGAAUGCUUUUUGAAUCAAGCCAAUUUUUAAUUGGUGAAUUUCAGUAACUGUUGAAAUUAACCAUCUUCAGGACAAUAAGAGACAAAUGACAUGGAGGAUCCAGGGCUGCCUUGUAGCAAGGACCAAAACGAGAUGGGAAUGCAUGAGUAUCAGUAAGUAUCCAUUAAAGAGCACUGUCCAGAGAAAAAGAGAAUUACUCUUUGAUUAAAGAAUAGGAGUAGCCUGAAGCCAGGUAGAGAUAUACAGUUGAGAUAUGACAAGACAGAGAUUCCAUUCCCUAUUUGAAGUUUUGAAACCCUACACAGGCUGAUUAAUUUCUCUGCAAGACAGUGCAUGCAAUGGGAGUGUCAGAGGCAGCUUACAUAGUAGGGAGCUUGUUGAGUUUGAGGAAAGAGAAAAGGAUUGUUUCCUGGCUCAUACUGUUCCCUUUUUAUUCCACGUGGGUCACUUUUAUUUUACAAAAUAAAUAAAUAAAGACCCCACCAUCCCCCCCAAAAAACAACCAACCAGAAACAAACAAACAAAAACAAUGAACAAGCCCUUCUUUGCUAUCUCAUCUUAUCCCACAUACUCAUAUCCAAGCGGUACAAGCAAUAAGGAAUUUCUUAUUUUCUAUUUUGAGGACUGUGCAGUUGUCUUUUCCAGGUGUCAAGAAAAAACAUCCUUUUCAUCUGAAUUUAACAGAUCAGUUGAGCUAGUGGAUUUUUCCCUGAUUUCCUCUGAACAUAAGACAUCCAAUUAUGUGAUACAAAUGUAUGUUCUCAACCACAGAACCCACAGAGUUUGUUGUGAAAUAGUGGCAUCACUUGAUAGUUCAAUUACAGACAGGUCUUGCUUCUUCUGUUAUCUAUAAUACACAAUUAUGCCCACAGUAACCAUGGCUAAGAUAACACAAAUCUUAACUGUGACCAAGUCUCUCAUCACAAGGUGAUCAGGAGCAAUGCCAGGUGUUUAAGCCCCCACUGCUCAGUAAUCAUGGCAAGCAUAUUUCCUGAGUAAAGAUAUGGCUACCACCAGGGACCGGAUUUAACAUAAAAUGUACACAUAAGACAGCAACAACUGUUGUUUGAGCAUCCUUCCCUUAGCACACAUCCUGAAAGGUAAAGCAGAGCUCCGUGUAUGGUAAGCUGCUAGACUGAGGGAAAGGACAGAGCUUUCCAUUUCUCAGCUAACAAACGCAGGUGACCCGAGUUUUCUAGGAUAUUGGAGACAUGGUCAUACAACUAAUCACUCACAUGAGCUUGUGGUGCUUGGAAGCCAUUGCUGCAGAGUUCAUGCUACAGCUCUGGGAAGGCAAUAAAUGUUGUAUUGGAGGGUAUUCUGGCUGCCAUAUGAGCCAUCACUUACAGUUCAUAAAGCUAUGCAGUAAUUCAAAUGAUUUGCAGGGGACAGGGGUAUAACUGCCAAUCUUCUAAAGUUGUUUGAAGCUGAUUACUAGGGAAUUCCUGCAGUUUCAAUAGCAACUGCUGUGUGAUGUCUAUAGCUGGACAUUUCAAAACAUUUUCAUUGUGAGUUGCAAGUCCCUUAGGUCUAGUAAUAAAUUUUUAUGAGGAUUAAAUUACAUAGGGAUCUAACAGUUAUGUCUGUUGUUUACUCUUGAAAUUGAGAAGUAAAAGAAAAUGAAAAUAACGUGGUUGCUCACCUUUGAUUUUAAUAAUUAUAAUAAGAGUUCCCCUGUGUAGCUUGGAUGUCUUGGAGUAUUUUGGGUCAAACUAGUACUUGUAAAGUGAAAAUGGCAGUAAAAAUAUUGCAGAUAAGAACAUCAUAGAAGUCUAUAUUAAGUGACUCUUUAAUCUCUCAAAAUAUUUUUGAUCAUCAAAUGAGGAUGCUUAAAGAAUAUGGGAGUUCAGUAAUACACCAAGCAAAUGAAAAUUAAAACUAAACAAGGAAAUUCUCUUAGAUAAUUUCUGUCACUAAGAUGUUCUUUUUUUUUUUUUUUUUUAUUGGUAGUUACCUUGUAUGUUAAGA